AUGUUUUGUGAAAGGAGAGAAAGUUAGCACUCUCCUAGCGAAGAUGGAAGAGGCUUUGACCUGCAACACACAUAUGAUUAAGGCACUGCCACCUACUUCAUGACAUCUAGCCAACAUUUUAA